rnacentral:rRNA from 1 species
CCUACGGGUGGCAGCAGUGGGGAAUAUUGCACAAUGGGGGAAACCCUGAUGCAGCGACGCCGCGUGAGUGAAGAAGUAUUUCGGUAUGUAAAGCUCUAUCAGCAGGGAAGAAAUAGCGACCUUUGGGUCGCCAGACGGUACCUGACUAAGAAGCCCCGGCUAACUACGUGCCAGCAGCCGCGGUAAUACGUAGGGGGCAAGCGUUAUCCGGAUUUACUGGGUGUAAAGGGAGCGUAGGCGGCAGCACAAGUCUGAAGUGAAAUGCCGGGGCUUAACCCCGGAACUGCUUUGGAAACUGUGGAGCGAGAGUGCAGGAGAGGGGAGUAGAAUUCCUGGUGGAGCGGUGAAAUGCGUAGAUAUUUGGAGGAACACCAGUGGCGAAGGCGGCCUACUGGACUGUAACUGACGUUGAGGCGCGAAAGCGUGGGGAGCAAACAGGAUUAGAUACCCGAGUAGUC